UCACAUUCAAGGCUUCAACUCAAGCAUGACCAGAACAUGAAUACGAUUGGGCUUACUCCAGACCCGCAAAUUUUGUAUCAUUUUCAAGUCAAGCCUGCGAAUUGAAUUAAAGAUUCGCAUCGUGAUGGGAAUAUGUAGGUUGAUACAUACAAAAUUAUUUUUCAAAUUUUAAAAAAAAUGUCAUGGUUUUAAAUUGGGAGGGGAUUGAGGGAAUGUCACAAGCCACAGGCGAAUCAAAUCCAGGAGGUUGAGACAAAGGAGGUCAAUUGCUGAAACCCUAGGGGCCGGAGAAAGAAGAAGAAGAUGGAUGAUAGCAGAAAGAGGCGUUUACCGCCGUGGAUGCGGGGUGUGGCUGCAAGCAAGUCCGAUGACGGAGAGUUAAUACAUUCGUCAUCCAAGGAUAUCAGGCCAUCGAAUUCAAAUUCCGGGAUCACACAAGAAGAACGGGAUGCCAAGGAAACUUUGGAGGUGAAGUCAAUUUUACCCUCAGAAUGUGAAACCAAGAGGAGGAAGAGGAAAUUGAAACUACAAGAUGCGGAUCAUGGUGGUGAUGUGCGUGGAACUGAUUCGGUUGAGGUAUCAGCUCCCAAAAAGGGUCGAAAAACACGGAAAGGGAGUAAUUCAAGGGUUGAAAGUAGGAAGGAAGCUGGAAUCACACCUCCAACUGAAGAUGAAGGGGAAUUGACUGUGGAAGAUCUCAUGAGCAUUGCUCAAGAGUAUGUCAAAGCUGAUAAGGUUAUGGAGCAGCACAAGUUGAAUAGUAAAGAAUGUGAACUGGAAAGCCAAUUUCCAGCUACAGACUUUUAUAGGAAUGAGGCAGGGGGUUCUCUCAAUGCUGCACAAAGUAAUAGGAGAUUACCUGCACAAGAUGCAGUAACUUCUCACAAGUUGACUAUGAUUUCAGCAGGUGAUGGAAUUGUCAGCAAUCCCAGCAGAACUGGUGAUCCUGCUCAAGACAUGUUGGACCUGUUUUUGGGUCCCUUGCUCAAGAAACCCCUAGAGGAGAAAAAGCAGUUUGCAUUUGUUACUGAGGAUGUGAAAUUUGUCCAUGAGUUCAAAAAACAAUGUCAAGAAGAAAUGGUGGUCCCCUUGACAAAGAAGAAGAGCAGUCUCAAAGACAAGGUAGCGGUGUUCCUUGAUUGAAUGAAACAUCCAUAUCUUAUGACAAAGAGCACUACAAUGUGGUGAAGCAGGAAACUGAGAAUGCAACAUACUUUGCCAACCUUUGCACACUUAUCAUCUGCUCUUUUGAAGUUAAUCUCAUGCCUGCUGCACAUCAUAUUCCCCAGUUGGUGCCUACCUCAGGGAGCAAAAUUCUCCAUAGCAAGCUUCUUCUGAAACCUUAGUGAGAGGAAUGUGGAAAGCUUCCGACCAAGAGAACUCCUUGAGACAAGUAGCAGUUGGAGUUCCCCACCUGUAUGAAUUAUCCAGAAGCUGACAAGCAGCCUUCCUUUCAAAUGGUGUCUCAAACAACUUCACUUGCUCUCUCCUCAUCUCACUCAGCAGCUCAGGCCUGAUCCCAUGGUUCACCACUUGGAAGAAUCCCCACUUGGACGACGCCCUACCAAUUGCUGAUGCGCAGGCCAGCCUCUCCUCUUCACUCUCACUCCACAGGCCCUCAAGAUCUAUCAAUGGCAGCUGGCAUUCCUCCAUGGCAGCUCCAUUGUUCCCACAAUCACGUUGCUGAACUGCAGGAGUUUCUCCGUGUUGGCAAAGAACUCCAUAAUGUUGCAAGAGAGGUGGGUUUGCGUUGGUCAUUGUUCUCCUGAAAUGGACACUUCAGCUUAUGGGAGUGCAACAAGAGCAAGUGCAGGGUGUAUAAUGAUGGUUGAAAGGGGUAUAUAUAUAGGGGAGAAAAGAGAAUGACGAAGGGGACAAGGAGCACAAGGAGAAAAAGACAUACACAAGUAGAGCUUCCAUGUAGCGACAAUUGUCACAAGGAGAGCACUUUAAAACUUGCCCAACUGGGACCAAGUCAUAUGUAAAUUUUGGAGCGUGAGAAAAUAUGAAAAAGAAAAAAAAAAGAGAUCAAUAUUCCAGACCAAAACCUAACUUGGAUUCUACUUUAA